rnacentral:lncRNA from 1 species
GAUGCUUCUUCCCAUAAGAUGGAGUUACACUGUGGCAAACCCACCACUAGCGGAAGAUUCCAUACGUCAGAGAUGCAUUUAAUUCAUCUGGCUUACAAAACACCAGGGCUUAGCCCAGCCUACCUUCAGCUCUGCUCAAAACAUGUAUUUUGGGCAAAGAGUUCUAACACAAAACAUACACCACGUGUUCAUAAUUCAUGCAGUUUACCAACUGCCGCUCUGAAGGGGAGAAACAGAACGGUUUUAUGAAGGGGUGUUAACACCACCACAAAGCUGAAAGAUGAUGGUAUAUCAAGUCACUGUAAGUCAGGGGUCGUGUGCAGCCAUGCUUGGCUUCUGCAGCAGCCUUUGUAUUGCCGUUUUCCAUUGCUGUGAUAAAUAUGUCAGGAAGGAAAGGGUUACUGUGUCUCACGGCUCAGGGGAUAGUGGUCAUUAUCUUGGUAAGGGAGGCACGGUGGAAGCAGAGUCUUGUUCACAUCUGGGCACAUCAGGAAGCAGAGAGAGGAGCCAUGUUGUACUUAGCUGCUUUCUCCUGUUUUCAUUUUUGUUCGGUCCGGAUCCCUCAGCAUGAGAUGGGACUGUGGGGCUCGGGGCUGCCCACCUCACCAUAGGCAUUGUUUGCUCAGUUAAACCUCCCUUGAGUUCUUUCUGCUCCUUCUUUUCUUCCUCUGCCUCCUUCUUCCCAUUCUCUUCUCUAUGUACCAAAUAUUUCACUCAAACUCUCUAUGUUUACCUUCUCUUUAAAAAGCAAAAC